rnacentral:lncRNA from 1 species
CAAGAACCGUCGAAUCGGACCCAGGUCCAGUCCGAGUCAGGUAGUUUUAAUGGUAGACAAACCACCGGUUGGAAACCCGUCGAACCGGCGGGUUUUUAGCCCAACCGCCAACCAGUUUGCAACUGAACCAACUUGGUUAUUUCUUUUGCUUUAAAACCUUGUUUUCCAAAUCCCCAAUUCACGUUACCUAGGAAAGUCUUCUUCUUCAUUCCAAAAUCCGACUGCUUCGCUACCAUCUGCUAUUUAAUCAUUCCCAAAAAAUCCAAAUCUCCAAUUCGAAGUCUUAAAAGAUGGAAGAAGAAGAGGUUAGUAUGAAGUCAGUAGAUAUAGAUUUUGAUUGAUUAGUUGAAAAUAUUCCUGUGGGGGAAUUCAAAUUUUUUAGAACAAUAUAUAGUUGUUUUUGUGCAAUUUAAGAUUCUUACAAAACAUAAUUGCAUAAAAAUAUUCUUGUGGUGAAUCUGGUUCUUAGAACAAGAUAUAGCUGGUUUUCAGAAUUGCAGUGGACUGCAUCUUCGGAUUCUUUGCUUUUAGGAUUUGGAAUUAAAUUUACAUAAUAAUUUGCUAUUCUUUAUAUUCCCUUGAGUUGGUGUUUACAUGAAUUGGACAUAUUUUUAUCAUCUCAUUAAUUUACAUUCAUUGUCCAUUCUAUGUAUUUCUUGAACCACGAAAUCUGUUGAAGACAGAUUCAAGGUUAGUCUUUCAGUUUAUAUCAAUUUUGAUUGGUGAAAGGCUUUAAAUCUAUUUAGUUUGAGGUGUUAAUUAUUUGAUUGGUGAUUUUGUAGAACCAUUUCCUGCUUUGCUGUUGAUUUUGCUAAAAUAUUGGUAGUCUCAAGAGUACCUGUUAGAGACGAAAACAGUUAUUACCAGCACCUGUUAGAGACUAAAAUAUUGCUGAUCUUUGUUGUCAAGAUGCUUAAAGCUAGUUCUUUGUUAGAGACAUUGACACAGAAUUUGAGAUGCAAUGGAUGGUCCUACCCAGAAGAAUAACUUACUCAAUGCUUUAACUCUCCUAACAAUAAUAACGAAAUCAUUACCUAUAUAAAUAAGUCACAGGUGUCACUGACAUCAAUUUGCAGAUAUUGUAAGAUAAUUAUUUGCAAAUGUAAGCUUUGUUAUAACAAGCAGGCAGUUAGUGUCAUGGAAGUUAAAGUUAAUAUUUAUACCGAAUGCAUGUAAGAUUGUUUUGCAUGAUUCCAUCCCCGAUCAUUAUCACUCUCAAAAAUAUGAGAUGUGUUAAAUGAGUGUCUCUCCAUAGCUGUCUAAGAUAGUGCAAAAUUUUAUUCAUCUAGCAAACAAGAACCUGCAUGUGAUCACAAGUUACUCGGUAUACAUAAUUUGCUACAAAGAAAAAAAUUCCAUUACUCGGGGCAAAAUAGAAAGUUAGUAGCAAGUUAUUACUAGCACUAUUGAUAAUGGAGUUAUAACAUAUUCCCUUGUUAGAUAUGAGGUUAACACUUGACAACAAAUUUCCCAUAUGAAUUGGUUCUUAUCACUAUUGCAAUAUCAUUUAAUGGUGAAUACUAAAUCUUUGUAAUUGAACUUGUUUUCUUUGUAUAGUUAACUGGUGUUAAUAGCAAACCGCAUAGUUCUUAUCCAACAAAGAAUCUUACAAGAGGAAGAAUUGAUAUAGCAUGGGGCCAUUGUAGAGAGGUUUUAGAAGCUAGUAAUAAUGAAAAAAAAAACUUGUUUGCUUGUAUUGUGGGAAGACUUUCGGUGGAGGUGAUAUUAAUCGGAACAAACAACACUUAGCAAGAUUAAAAGGUGAUGUAAAUUCUUGUUGUAGAGUACCUCCUGAUGUUAGAUAUAAAUGAAAGAAAACUUGGACAUCUUUGCCGCAAAGAAACGUAAAACUCAAGAAAUUGUUAUUCGCAUGUUAUGUUCUUUGUUAUGUUAUAAAAUUCAUAUUUUAGUUUAUGUAACAUAUGCCUAUUUUUUAUUGGUACAGAUGAAUGGUGGAUGUGUUAUGGUUGUAAUGCAUCAAAUCUACAAACACUUGCAAUCCGAGUUUAAGUCAAACAUGUAGUUUCUUCAGGUUGCGAGAGAAAUUGGAGUCUGUUUGAAUAUAUUCAUUAUAAAAAGAGAAAUAGACUCGAGCAUCAAAAACUUAAUGAUCUUGUUUAUGUUCACUACAACGGUAAUGUUAUUUAAAUAAAUCUUUUCAUCUUUUUAUGAUUUUUUUUAAGAUUUUACUCUUUUACUAGAAUUAUAUUUCAAGUAAUCAUAAACCGGAUAAUAAACUUUGUUUAGGAAUUAUUUCAAAAGUCGGAAUUAUGAUCCUAUCGACUUUGAAAGGUUUGACAGUUAUGGCAAUUGGGUAUUAGAGGAUGAGCCACCGAAUUUGGUGGAUGAUGAGUUGGAGACAUUUCAUCGUGAUUUGGGUGCAUGCUCUAUACAAAAUUAUAAAAAUGAUGGUAAUUGUUUCACUGACGCUAUUGUUUCUUCUUUUUAUUAAAAUAUAUAUGAUGUAACGAUGAAAUUU